rnacentral:rRNA from 1 species
GCCGUAUUAAGGCGAAACCGCGAAUGGCUCAUUAAAUCAGUUAUGGUUCCUUGGAUCGUACCUUACUACUUGGAUAACUGUGGCAAUUCUAGAGCUAAUACAUGCAGCAGAGCUCCGACCUUCGGGGACGAGCGCUUUUAUUAGACCAAAACCAAUCGGACCUCGUGUCCGUACGACGUGGUGACUCUGUAUAACUUUGGGCUGAUCGCACGGGCCCGUCCCGGCGACGUAUCUUUCAAGUGUCUGCCUUAUCAACUGUCGAUGGUAGGUUACUCGCCUACCAUGGUCGUAACGGGUGACGGGGAAUCAGGGUUCGAUUCCGGAGAGGGAGCCUGAGAAACGGCUACCACAUCCAAGGAAGGCAGCAGGCGCGCAAAUUACCCACUCCCGGAACGGGGAGGUAGUGACGAAAAAUAACAAUACGGGACUCUUUUGAGACCCCGUAAUUGGAAUGAGUACACUCUAAAUCCUUUAACGAGGAUCCAUUGGAGGGCAAGUCUGGUGCCAGCAGCUGCGGUAAUUCCAGCUCCAAUAGCGUAUAUUAAAGUUGUUGCGGUUAAAAAGCUCGUAGUUGGAUCUCAGUUCCAGACGGGUGGUCUGCCUACCGGUGGUUACUGCCCGUUCUGAACAGCCAGCCGGUUUCCCUUGAUGAUCUUCACCGGUUGUCUUGGGUGACCGGCAAGUUUACUUUGAAAAAAUUAGAGUGCUCAAAGCAGGCGUGACGCCUGAAUAAUGGUGCAUGGAAUAAUGGAAUAGGACCUCGGUUCUAUUUUGUUGGUUUUCGGAACACGAGGUAAUGAUUAAGAGGGACAGACGGGGGCAUUCGUAUUGCGACGCUAGAGGUGAAAUUCUUGGACCGUCGCAAGACGAACUACUGCGAAAGCAUUUGCCAAGAAUGUUUCCAUUAAUCAAGAACGAAAGUUAGAGGUUCGAAGGCGAUCAGAUACCGCCCUAGUUCUAACCAUAAACGAUGCCAGCCAGCGAUC